UGCGUAGGCGGCCUGGCAGGUUGGGUGUGAAAGCCCUCGGCUCAACCGAGGAAUUGCGCUCAAAACCGUCAGGCUUGAGGGAGAUAGAGGUGAGCGGAACUGAUGGUGGAGCGGUGAAAUGCGUUGAUAUUAUCAGGAACACCGGUGGCGAAAGCGGCUCACUGGGUCUCUUCUGACGCUGAGGCACGAAAGCUAGGGGAGCGAACG
rnacentral:rRNA from 1 species